UUGGCCUAAGUGACUCUGUUGUGACCUCUGUCGCCUCAGAAAUGGUUCAUUUGGAUUAAAACAGUACCAAAUGCGCCAUUUCUGAGGCGACAGAGGUCACAACAGAGUCACUUAGGCCUA
rnacentral:pre_miRNA from 1 species